GAGUGGCUGGAGUCGCAGUUGGAAUUAGGCUGGAAGCGUUUGGUCACGUAAUCGAGGGGUUCCACGUAGAAACAGCGACAAAGUUUUGCAAACAAACGCAUAUAUUAUCAGGAAUAAAAAUUACGCGAUUUUUUUAAGGAUCCGCGUUUGAAGGCAAAUAUGUUUCACCUCCCGGUAGUUCUCUUGAGCCGAUGUAACCUGGAAGUGGCCUCAUGAGUUUCACGAGUUGCGACGUCAUGUGCUAUUGAAUGAAAAGGAAGCGUUGCUGGGUCAACAGUGUCUUACAUUUGGAUCUCUUACCGCGUUUUCAAAGCCAUGAGUCAUGUGGAUCUAAAAGUGGUUCUCCUAGGAAAAGAGUACGGUGGCAAGACAAGCCUCGUCGAGCGCUACCUCUACGACCGUUUCGAUGCGUCUACUCCUUAUCAAAAUACAAUAGGCGCUGCUUAUGGUGCAAAGCAGAUCGCCGUGCGAAAUCGCAAAAUCACCCUUGGAAUUUGGGAUACGGCUGGCAGUGAGAGGUAUGAGGCUAUGAGCCGAAUCUACUAUCGAGGAGCUGGUGCUGCUAUUGUGUGCUUUGACCUCACUGACCGUGAAAGCUACCAGAAGGCCAAGUUCUGGGUGGAGGAACUGCGCAAGCAUGAAGAGAAGUGCCAAAUCUUCCUUUGUGGCACUAAGAAUGAUUUAAUCAAAGAAGAAGGCAAAUUCAGGGCAAUCAGUUAUCACGAUGUGCAGGAUUAUGCUGAUGACAUUGGGGCCAAAAUGUUUGAAACUUCUAGCAAGACAGGAGAAGGCAUUGGAAUGAUGGACUGCAGCUGAGCUCUUUUGUCAAAUUGCUAAGGACCAUAUAGAGGCCAUGUCACCAUCAAGGAACAAACCAGGCACAAACUUUAGGCUUGAAGAACCAGCUUCUCAAGGUGGAGGCUGCUGCUGAACCCUGGUUUCCUGAAGGUCUAUUAAGUGCUGCAUAAAGUGGUCUUCAUGAAAUGACAAACAUUGGCGCCUGCACUGUUCUAGUCUCAGUGGACAUUGAAAAAGCCAAAUGGGACCUUACUCACGCUCAUGUGACUCUCUGGUGUGCCUUGGAUGUUUAAGAAGUAUCGGAAGAAUUUCCGAAACAGUUUUUCGCGAGUGUUUUGUGAAGUAGUGUAUCUGUUUUUUUUUAUGCAUAAUUAACGUUGCAUAUAAAUGUGCCUUGCCAACCAGCCAGUGAAAUUCUUAAGCUGGUGUAUAACUAAGGAGGUUAACUAUAAUGUUUGCAUGUGGGAAAGUAUGCGGUGUAGCGCAUAAGGUGACCAAAAUAUGUAAGAGGCGCAAUUAUUUUAUUUGCAGCGUACGUAGUGCCGUUUUUAACAUUCUCUAUAAUUGAUGUAUGACAUGUUCGUAUGAAAUGGCGCAAUAAAUUGCAUAUCAUUUCGUCCGA